rnacentral:rRNA from 1 species
CCUACGGGUGGCAGCAGUGGGGGAUAUUGCACAAUGGGGGAAACCCUGAUGCAGCGACGCCGCGUGUGGGAAGACGGUCCUCUUGAUUGUAAACCACUGUCCCCAGGGACGAAGAUGACGGUACCUGGGGAGGAAGCUCCGGCUAACUACGUCCAAGCAGCCGCGGUAAUACGUAGGGAGCGAGCGUUGUCCGGAAUUACUGGGUGUAAAGGGGGCGUAGGGGGGGAAGCAAGUUGGGUGUAAAAACUACCGGCUCAACUGGUAGUCGCACUCAAAACUGCAGCUCUUGAGUGAAGUAGAGGCAGGCGGAAUUCCUAGUGGAGCGGUGAAAUGCGUAGAUAUUAGGAGGAACACCAGGGGCGAAGGCGGCCUGCUGGGCUUUUACUGACGCUGAGGCUCGAAAGUGUGGGGAGCAAACAGGAUUAGAUACCCCAGUAGUC